rnacentral:rRNA from 1 species
UACAGAGGUCUCAAGCGUUGUUCGGAUUCAUUGGGCGUAAAGGGUGCGUAGGCGGCGCGGUAAGUCGGAUGUGAAAUCUCGGGGCUUGACUCCGAAACUGCAUUCGAUACUACCGUGCUUGAGGACUGGAGAGGAGACUGGAAUUUACGGUGUAGCGGUGAAAUGCGUAGAUAUCGUAAGGAAGACCAGUGGCGAAGGCGGGUCUCUGGACAGUUCCUGACGCUGAGGCACGAAGGCCAGGGGAGCAAACGGG